CACAAAAGUUUGGUCCUAGCCUUACUAUCGAUUACUACCCAACUUACACAUGCAAGUCUCCGCACCCCAGUGAAAACGCCCUUAAACCCCCUCCCACGGGAUAAGGAGCUGGUAUCAGGCACAACCCUAGCCUAAUACACCUAGCCCUGCCACACCCACAAGGGUACUCAGCAGUGAUUAACAUUGAGCAUUAACGCCAGUUAGACUCAGUCAGGGUUGUAAGGGCCGGCCAACCUGGUGCCAGCCGCCGCGGUUACACCACGGGGCUCAAAUCGAUAGCCACCGGCACAAAGCGUGAUUAAAGCCCAAUUACACUAGAAUAAAAACUAAACUAAGCAGUGAUAAGCUUGUUUUGCAGAACCUCGGACACGAAAGUUAUUCUAGAUAGACCCACUUGACUCACGACAGCUGGGGCACAAACUUGGAUUAGAGACCCAACUAUGCCCAGCCGUAAACUUAAUCAAAUCAGAUCGCCAGAGAACUACGAGUCAUACUUAAAACUCAAAGGACUUGACGGUGCCCCAAACCCCGCUAGAGGAGCCUGUCCUAUCAUCGAUGACCCCCGCUAAACCUCACCCCUCCUGGCCCAUCAGCUUGUAUACUUCCGUCGCCAGCCCACCACGUGAGCGCAAUUAAGUGUGCCCUCCGCCUCACUCACAUAAACGUCAGGUCAAGGUGCAGCAUAUGGAGGGGGAAGUGAUGGGCUACAUUCUCUACCCUAGAGCAAACGGAAAACCACACAUGAAACAAGGUUAGAAGGCGGAUUUAGAAGUAAGGGGGGAAUAGAGUGCCCCCUUGAACCUGGCACUGGGGUGUGUACACACCGCCCGUCGCCCUCCUCAAACCCACUAACAAGUAAAUAACACGCUAUAACCUAAAAGAGGAGGUAAGUCNNNNNNNNNNNNNNNNNNNNNNNNNNNNNNNNNNNNN
rnacentral:ncRNA from 1 species